GACGGAGGAUCCGAGCGUUAUCCGGAGUGACUGGGCGUAAAGAGUUGCGUAGGCGGUUUGUUAAGCAGAUAGUGAAAUCUCGUGGCUCAACCAUGAGGCUAUUAUCUGAACUGGCAAACUUGAGAAUGAGAGAGGUAAUUGGAAUUCCCAGUGUAGCGGUGAAAUGCGUAGAUAUUGGGAAGAACACCAAUGGCGUAGGCAGAUUACUGGCUCAUUUCUGACGCUAAGGCACGAAAGCGUGGGGAGCGAACCGG
rnacentral:rRNA from 1 species